CAAAAGAAAAAUGCUGUGACCAGCGAGCCGCUCCCUCUCUCUCCUCGCACGAGUCGCGGCGCGCGCUACGGUUCCUCACGCCGCCGCCGCACACCUCCAUCCCCUCCCCAACCCCGGCCGGCCUCCACUCCACUCCACUCCUCCGCGGGGGCCACCCAACCACCGCCGCCCUCUCCACGCACCCGCACCCACUCACCCAACUCUCUCUCCGCCGCCGCCAUCUAGAUCUCGGCCGGUCGAUUCCUGCGGCGCGCAUCACACUCCUUCUGUGCUCGCCUCGCGCCGCUGCGUUCACCCAUCCGGCUGGAUUCGCCGCUCCCCGGUGGCAAGGGCUUCGGUCGCCUCCAACUCCGGCGACUCCGGCGGUUCAUCUCCGACGCGUACCCAGCCCCCACGCGCAGCUCUGUCUCCUGGAUGAAUUUGUCCUGCUCGAGACGACCGGUUCUUCCUCAAGCUCCAAGGACGCCCGCCAUCGUCGAGCCUCCCUCCGUGGGAUGCCAUGGAGAUGAAACUCCCCUCGACCAGGGUAGGAAUUCAAGGGCUUGUGGGAGAGAGAGGAGGUCCAUGGAGAAGAUGCUCUGCUCCAACCCUCCCUGCCUCCUACUACAAGAUGUCUUUUAUUGUGUGUGCUUGUAUUGCAGCAGCCAUCAGCAGCAGCAGCAGGCCGAGUGACGGUGGUGGCUGUGUGCAGGCCAUGGAGGCGAUGAUGAGCACGAGGGGAAGGCUGCUGCUUCAACCCCGUUAAGGACUGCUGCUUCGAAUUGUCCCAGAUCGGUCGAUUUCUUCUUGCUUUCCCGUUAAGGAUUUCUUCUUGAUGUUUAUAUUAUUGGAUUGCCAGUAUAUUUUGUAACCCGUGGAAUUAGUAUGACCUGCCUGGCAACCUGUAUUUUACUGGAGAAAAUGUUGAACAGUAGGCUUGUUAUUUUGAAUGCUUGCGGCAAAGGGAUGGGCUUGCACCCUUUUAUGUUCUAGACUAGGCAUGCUAAUGAAAACAUUCCCGUACAUGUAGGUCAUGUGCAUAUAAACUCCACUUCUUAUA